UUUGAAGCUUAAAUUAAACUUUAGGGGCGAAAUCGGGGUAAAAAUAAAAUAAAGGACCACAUCGUAACAUGCGAAUAAAAGGGAGGAACCAAAUGGAAAAUAUUUCAUGUCCUCCAAAACGCGCAAUUCCAAGGUGGACUGAAAUGAAACAAAGCCGAAAUUACAAGGCCAAAUUUAAAAAAAAAGGAAAAUAAAAAUAAAAAAGGACUAAAUUAAAACAAACCAAAAAUGCGGGAGGACCAGGGGCGUAAAUAGCCCAAAAAUGAAAACACGCGGAUCCCCAAGAGCGGGUCGGGUCGCGCGUGGGUUGGCCUUAAACGACGUUGUUUUGGGGCCUUUCUGACCC
rnacentral:lncRNA from 1 species